UGAAAGUCACCACAUUAUAAUUUUAUUAAGGUUUGAAUAAUCCAUUGGAAUUUAAUAUUUACAAGGAAAUGACAAUGGAGAAUGGCACAAAAAUACAUUUUGAGGUAUAAGCUGAAAGCACAGUAUGUAAUGUUGCAAUAUACAUAUAUAUAUUAUAUUUUUAUGUAUAUAGUCUAUAUUAUUCCACGUUUUGUAAACUGAUUGACCAGAUAUAUGCAUUUUGUUUUUGAACCAUAUAAAAACACCUGUUAAUUACUUGUGAGGUAGAGGACAGUUCUGAGUCAUGUAAUUCACAAUCACAGUUUGUUUAAUCCUGUUAGUGUGAGCUAACCCGCCACCCACAGGGUUAAACAUGAUCUGUACAAUAAUGGCAAAUUUUCUAAGUCUGAGAAAUCUUUGGGUUCAUUGCAAUUGGAAGAUAUCUCAGCUUUAGACAUUUUCCGUUUAUCACAUUUAACAAAGUCUGCAAUGCUUUGCACAUGCUUUAUUCAACAUUUCACAUUUUAAAGUAUGUUACCAUGCAACAUAAAGAACCUUUGAAGACUAUGCAUGAGAACCUAAACAUAUCAUUUGCUGAAAAAUAAGAUUUUAUUUUUAAUUUUGCCCCUCCUACAACUUCCAUCAGAAGCAUUUAAUUGGAAUAGAACUCUUUUCUAUUAGGUAUAUCGCAUUGAAUUAAUACAAUCCAAAAUGUUUGCAGUGUUUGUGCAUUACUUAAUGCAGGGGUGCCAGCUACUUGUGCAAAAUUGCAUUUAAAAUUGCAGAUUCUACUAAACACAGAGAAGCAGCAAUAUACAUAUUGAUCGAUGCUUGCUGGGCAAGCAAAAUAAGAACAAGCCUAAAAGUCCACCUUUUCAUUGCAAGGACAGUGCAGCUCAACAGGAUGCUGGUUACUAAACAGAAGGAGAUUAGAUUAAUCUCUCAGUUUGUUUGUUUUCUACAGUAACAUUAGUGGAUCAUAAAGCUCACUUGUAUUUUGAGACAUUAUAAAGUUAUGACAUUCAAUAAUAAAAAAAAAUAAUAGAUAAUUGCUAAACGAAGAGAUUUCUCAGUUUGUGACUUCAUUAUGGCUUUUAAUUUUUUUUUAGCUAUAAUUCCUAUUAGUUUAAUUUUUUUUUUUAUUAUUAGCUUAGUGGUAUCUCACUAUGUUUCAGAACGUUUUGGCUAUAUUUAUUACUUCCAAGUUGUGUGGAAUAGCAGAAUAUAUUGUCUCUUUAUAUAUAAUUUUCUUUUAAUAGUACCGUAAAUAAAUGGAAUGUCUGCUGUUUAUGAAUCCUGUAUGGAUACAGAGUUUUUAGAUGCAAUGCUGGUUUGUCUAUUCAUAGUCUAGUCAUUUAGAUGGUAUGUUGGCUAUUGACUUGUAGAAUUUAAUAUAAAUAGCUAUCUCACUGACUGCAUUUAUAGCAUUUACAUGUAAAAUGUUAUAAACAAACAGUGAUUCCACCGCUGGAGGAGAAUAGGAUGUGAUACAAAUGGACAUGUGUCCACAUAUUAUAAACUGGAAACCUAGAAUGUGAAUGGUUCGGAUAUAUUUUAUUUUUCACUUACUGCAAUUAUGGAAUGUCUUUUUAAAAAAAAAAAAAUAUAUAUAUUAUUCUCAGGAAACUGACAAAAUGAUACCCAGGUGAGUCCUUGCAUUAUUUACUGUGUACUCCCUGAGGCAAACCAGUUAAAAAGUAUAUGUACUGGCCUUCAAUCUGCCAGUGUUCCAGGAGAGCUCAAACAAAUAUAUUCAAGUAUGAAAGUGAGGGGACACACGAAGGACACACGUUACAUUUCUGCAAAGAUGGUAACCAGCUUAUUUCCAUCUUGAAGAUUAUUGCAAUGACUCUUUUAUAAUUUUAACGUGUGCCAGUGGUCUCAAUGAUAGCAUUUAAUGUUGUAGAAAGAUUCAUUCUACUGUCUCGCUAUGGAACUGGUAACUUCAAUAUCAUCUUAUCAGAUUUCCAGUACUGCAAAUACAUCUGUGCUCGUGUCUCACAAGAUAAAAUCUGAAACAUCCGUAUUUCCAAACACAAUAUAGCCAACAUUAUAUGGGAAGAUGCUGCUAAUCUAAAAAUGCUACCAAACCCUAUUGCAUUAUAUCCUGGGCAGUAGCGACAUGAUAAGAGUAACAAUCACUUUAAGCAUCUAUUACCCCAUAAAGCUUUCAUUCUGCUCAGACUUCCAGGGAGUUUAUAAGGGCCCUGUAAACUGAGCAAAUAAACUGAAUUCCCUGCUGAUUUUUAUUUAUUUAUGUGCAGUAGUUCGAUUAGACUUUAAAAUUUAUAAAAUAUAUAUCUGUGAAGCACACUCAGAGAAGAAAAAAAAAAAAAUCACAUGUAAAUGUACUUUAAAUUAUAUAUAAAUUAUUUGUUAAAUGUUUAAUAAAUCUUACGAUAAUAUUAUCUGCAAUAUAAAUACAUAUCUUACGAAUGAAAUAGUCUCCAUCAUUAUCUGCACUGAACCAUUUAGGCCAAUAGGCUUGAAAUUAACCAGCGCGGGGGUAUUUGGACUAAAACACUUUGCUUUAAGGAUGUUGAGAAAUGAAACGCAAGGAAUGCAGUCUUCCAACAAUGAAAUAUUAGAAGCUGUUUUAACAGAAAAGAUGGAAAAUAAAUAGUAUCACUGGGAAUAAAGGUUAGAAUGUGGGUGAGAUUUGCACAGAAUAAGGCUGAAAAGGGUGGGAUUACUAUUCCGCUCACCCCAAAGCUGAAUUGAGUCAUAUAAGUGGGUAGCGCUACCAAUAAGUCACUUCCUUUCAGCCUUCCAAUAAGGCCCCUUUAUAUUUUAAAAUAUUGGAUAGAAAACAGGAGUGUCAAAGAUGUCGUAGAUACACUAAACUUAAAUAUUUAGAAUACAUGAACAGUUUUGGAAUAUAAAUUAUUCCUAGGGGAAUUUUUAUUGUUUAAGAAAAAUUCCCUUUUUGUCACAUAAUAAUUUAAAGAUGCAAGGACGUUACUAUUCCCAGUUCAUGUUUGUAGAUUUUUUUUAUUUUCAAGUCCUCUCUACAGUGUAUGCUCAUUGGGAGCAAACUAUAAAACAUGCAUGUAUAAUCGGAAGUCACAUUUUGGUAUUUGGCACUAUUAUUAUUUAUUGAAUUGCCCUUGCCAAAUAUGCCAAAAAUGUGUAGCGUAUACACGCUUCGUGAAAUUCAUGCCUUAUUAAGAAGCUGUUUUUCAUAAAAUAAGUCAUCUGAAAUACUAACUGCAACAUUUUUUUUUUUUUUCAAUAAUAUGCAGUGCAGCCAUUUCUGGUUUGGAUUUAGAAAGUGACAUUUUGGUCCUGUAAGGAUUGAGGUCCUUAAAGAACAAAACAUUACUCUUUAUAGUUAUGGUGUUCACGAGAAACAGCAGUUUAUGGUUUAAACUUACUGAUAAUCUGAUACUCUGGACUGGUUGAGAUACUGUGAAUGUGUUGGGGCCCUGUAGUUCAAUAAUGAUACCUGCUCCUUUCAUUUUAGAAAUAAAAAUGUAAAACUUAUUGCAUGGUCAUCAAUAUAAUAUAUUAAAAGAUGGAUAGGUUGAAAACCACCACAAAACAGCAAGUUAUCUUAAGAAAUUUAAGUAAAUGAUCACUUAUGUGUGUCCUCAUAGAUCAGAGGUACUUUGAAUGUGUUCAUAAUGUUAUGCAUCAGCUACCCUGUAAAUGGUUUUUAGAACAUUUUUUUAAAUCCUUGAGAAUUUACAAUUAUUUUUUUUAUUUUAGAAACAGAAUACCGUAUUUACUUGAAUCUAAUGCUCACCCAAAUUUUGAAACCAAAACAUUUUUCGCUGGCGAAUGUAAUGCACAUUUGUACAGAAGACACAAAUGCUGUGAAGUACGAGGUAUAGCUUUACUGUACACAAUAACAAAGUCUCACAUUCCUGUCGGUGCAAUGUGAAUGCUAAUUUCGGUCGUUGUCCAAGUAGGUCGUAAAGUGAGGAGCAACUAUGUAAACGAGAGAGUAGUACGCAUGCGUUGCUUGUCUUUAUUGCACUGUGCUUUCCUUUUUGUUAGUACUGAAAUCAUACUCGAAUCGAAUGCACAUUCAAAUUUUGAAGAUUAUAUUUUGCCAAUAAAGAGGCACAUUAGAUAAAAAUAAAUACGGUAAUUUAAGAGAUUUAUGAAAAAUAUAAGUGGCAGCUUUCAGUCAUUGUUGCUAUGUUGCAACUGCACACUAAUUUGCUGCUCAUUUCUUUUACGUGAUGAGCCUCUAAUUGACUCACAUCUGUUUUAAACAUGUAAACCCAUCUGUUGUGGCCUGGAAAGUUUCCCUAAGGUCUAUUCACUGGGCCCUGAAGUUUAGCUACCAAGUUAAAAAUGAUAAAAUUCUAAUUUCACUCGUGGUAUAAAGACAGACAUGAGCUGUGAGCACCUUGUGAAUUCACGGUCUUUGAUUUUAUCAUGGCACUGCCAAGUUCACCUAAUUUCAGUUUCAACUGGCUCCAAUAGCCAAUAGAUUCUCUAAGACAGAAUCAAAAGGUCUCCCAAGCCGUCAAUAGACUUUCUUCUAAACUUGGCAGUGAAUACCCAAAGUGACAGUUCUACGGCGGCUAUUUAAUGAUUGUCACGGUGGGGGCGUGCUCAGGACUAUUCAGAUUUUGUCGAGUUUCAAUCUUAUUGAUUACAGUAGCAAGCAUCAUACCAUUAUUUGCAUAUGCUGUGCUGCAAGAAUUGCAAUCAAUCUAUAAAAACUGAUAUUCCUAGGCUAGGGGCACACUUGCACUUGCCCUGUAAGUUGUAAAUGAGCCCUUGCAGUUCAAUUUAUUGUACUCCAGUGGUGGAAAAAGGCUGCAGCUUUAUCAAUCUUGGAGUCUCCAGUGCGAGAAUGACUGCCAGAGCAGGUAAGAGUGAAGCCACAUGCAAUGGGCUCCAUGUAGCAAUCCGUGCAAUACCUGCAGUAAUUCUGUGUAAUGUCACAUGGAGCACCCUCCACACAACUGUCCUCAAACCGCUCCAACCUCUGCCAUCAGAAGAAAGAUAGGGAAUGCAUCAUAAUUGGUCAGAAAGAAGAGGGUCUGGGUGAGAAGGAGAAUUAGCUACUACUGGAAGAUGUAAGGGGAAGGUUAAAGUAUACUAUUGUUAUUUUGCAAUGGGGUAGGUAAUGGACUUGAAAUAACAGAGGAAAGCGUAGGGGGAGAGAGUGGACUACUUCUGCCAAGGGGACAGUAUGGACUGCUGAUAUGGAGUUGGUGGGCUUGCGUGAUGUAAAUACACCGUUCAAUCACACACUGAACCUCCAUAUAAGGAAACCAGUGCACUGGUCUCAGGCCUGGCUAGUAACUUUAAAAUUUCAAUUUUGGAGCCCUGCAUUAACCAGUCUAUAAAUGUAAUGUAAUGUAAUCUUUUAAAGAGAAUUCUUUAAUAAUGGAAAAUUAAACACAAAGCAUAUAUUAAUAAUAAUAAUUCCAAUCUUCUUAUUUCAUUUCUGUACAUAUAUGUAUUAUAUAUGUGUAUAUAUAUAUUUUUUUUUAUUUUUUUUAAAGUUACUUUAAAUAAAUAUCACAAAAACAAACACAACCUGAGUUUCCAUGGUAAAAUACAAAAUACAACACCCUGAACUGGCUGUAACUGCAAUUGGAUUUGUGGCAAUUACUGCUCAACACUGGGUCAUGGCCAGUGCACAUUGGGGCUAUUGGGAGUCUGGCUUUCGGGAUCUAAAUAUUACAUUUGAAACAACUGUAAACAGAUUAUUACGCAUUGUUUUGGAUUUGCACAUCAUUAAAGUAUGCAGUUCUUUAUUCUAUAGAAGUAAAACUAUGUUACAUGUUUAUUGCAUAGGGUUCCAAUACAAGAACAGGGGAGGAGGGGGCAUCGUUGACUGUUACUAGAUUUGUAUAAUAGGGACAUAAGUUAGAAUUCUACACAAUGCUUUAAAGAAUGGAUCAGAGUGGGGUUGUCAGUAAUCUGAAAUUUGGUCUUUGUUAACCCUUCUGAAAGCCUAUCUGCAAUGUAUUGCUUCAUCCCGCUCUACCACUUUACAUGUUAAAGGGACACUACCACCAUAGGCGAAAUAUAAAUAUUCUUUAUUAAAGACAAAUUAUAAAACGUAAAUGAUUUGCAUGCAUUUACCCAUCGUUUGGAUAGUUCGGUAUAGCUCUGUUCCCCAACAUCGUAGCGCAGUACUGUAGCUCCAAGUGGCAGUGCCAGUAGCCCACCAACAUGGAGGAGAGGCUAACAACAAAAGAUGGAAGUAGACAUGGAUUAGCACACUCUCUACCAAUAACUGGGGGAAAUGCCAUUCACUAAAAGUGGGUUGUAGAGCUGGUGUCUUCUGACAAAGACACAGUCAUAAAUAGGCACAAAAAUAAAUUAUAUUAAAUGUACAGAUGGUUGCAAGUGCAAUGAAGUAACUUUGCCUUGGGGCUUUCUAUAGAAUUAGUGUAAAAUAAUAUAAAAACAUUCCUAUUUAAAGCCUGAGCUUUAUUGUUAGUGAUCUACCUACUGGUAGUGCCCCUUUAAUUAAAUGUAAGUAUUUAAAAUCAAACGUUAGCAACAGCUGUUUUUAAAAAAAAAAUUCUAUUUAAGAUCGGAAAGCCUCCAUUACCCCAGUUACAAUAAGGACAAACAUUUAUUAGGGACUACAGGACUAAUUAGUUUAGGUGUUUUACAAUAUUUGCUACAGCUAAACACUAUCUGAAUAAACUUUCUUAAUACAGACAUUCUACAUCUUUUAAACCUACAUUGAUCAGGUAAUCACUUACCAAAUUGUAUAAAAAUAGGAGAUUUUGCAGCCUAUUACACGUUAUAUUUAUUCUGAAUUUGUUUUGCUAUGUGAACCCUCGAGGGUUUUUUGUUUUUUUUAUUAUUAUUAAGUAAGUACACCUCAAAGUGCUUAGCUCCUGUAUCCCUGAGUAAUUCAAUCUUUGCACAUUGCAGUUUGGUCAGCUUUUUUCCUUACUAGCAGCACCUUAUUGCUGUUACAGCUACCAACGAUAUCUCAAUACAUAACCACAAACGGAAGGGAACAUUAUACUUACAAGUGGCCAGGUAACAUAUUUAAGCCACUGUGGACAACUGCAAAUAUGUUAAAAUUAACUAGAUCCAAAAGACUUAUCAAGAAAGAGAUAAUUUUUCAUAUGGCUUUGCUCUGAAAUUCCUUUUAAUUAAAUAUGUUUUCUAAAUCCCAUUAACCCCUUAAGGACCAAGCUUCUGGAAUAAAAAAGAAUCAAGACAUGUCACACAUUUCAUGUGUCCUUAAGGGGUUAAGCAGAAUUACAGUGCAAAUCCCCAUAAAUGUCUGCACCCAAACUCAUGGCUUCCACUUUACAUCAUUAAUAAGGGGUCAAGUUUUUCAAUUAUCUAAUGGCUAGAUGAAAACAUCUAAAAAGGAUUCACUUGCAUAUGAUUCUGCAGGCAUGUGGAUAAUCCUCAACUAGAGGUCUCAGACCUGCAGUCUGUUUCACCAAAUGACUUCUAUAGUCUUGGUUCAGCAAAUUCGGAAAAUAAAAUAUCUUGUCGCUCUCCCAUCCCCAUCCACAAAAAAAAAAAAAAAACACCCCAAAACAAAAACUGAUACAAAUGUGCGCUAGUAUCAAAAGACGUUCAACAUAACAUCGCACCUUUCACUAAAUUUACAAAAUAGGCAUGCUGUUACAAAUACACCACGUAGCAAUAUCAAAGUAUUGUCUUUACAACUGAUCUAAAAAAGGUGCAUUGGAUUGACAUAUGAUGUAAGCUAUCAAUGCAGUGAUUUCUGAUGCCUCCCAAGCAAAGUGAUCCAGCUAAAACUUUACAAUAUAUACAGUUCUACAAAAAGAAAAAUGAUUUGUAUUCUGCGAGUUUAAAUAAAAAUAUGGCACUACCAAAUACAAUUUUAUAGUUCUAGUGUAUGGAUAUGUAGAAAAUAGAACAAAGGCAUAGUAUUUUUUUUUUUUUUAUACAGAACAUUAUUAAAUUAUUAAAACUUAUAUAUUUUUUUCUAUUUACACUCCUACAAAUAAAUUGCAUGUUGCCAAAAAUAAUAAAAAACAGUAAUAAAUACACAUAAAACAGAUUAAAUUAUGACAAUAAAAAAAAAAGAAGCAAAUUGGAAGUUAUAGGGCUGAACCAAUACAGCAAGGUUAAAAACAUGCUGUACCAGGUUAAAGGUCCCCCCCCCCAAAAAAAAGAGGAGUACAGCGUUAUAGAACAGACGUGGUUCAAAGCUACAGAGAAACUCUGGUUUGUAAAUGCAAUAUUGCAAGUGUCCAGAUUUAAUGGCAGGCAUAUGAUGUGAUAAAGUUGAGGCAGGAUGCUAGAUAAGGCAGAAAAUUAAGGAAUAUAAAAAAAAAAAUCCUUGGGUACUUGAUUAAAGUGUAAUAUCAUAACCUCAUCAAACAAUUGUGCAUAUAUAUUUAUAUCAAACAUUCACAUAAUAAUUGGAUAAACCAACCCACUGAAUCAAACUAUAUAAUCAAGUGGUACUCCAUGGAGAGAACGCACCGAUCAAGAUUUAGUGAUUGGGACUCUGGCUAAGUACUCUUCAUGAACCAGUACCAGAAGUGCAAAGUUUUGGCUAGAAACAUGCCAAAGUCUUUCAAAUGCUGGGCAGUGCUUUGCUGCCCUCUGAUUUGAACUAUUUUGAAAGUUACGCUGACAAUUAUGGCAAUUGUUUGCUGGAAAUGGCUUAUUUUCUUUUUGUUUCGUUUUUUUUCUCCUUCAGGAAAUUUUACCAUGCUAGAACCACUCAUUUCAAACAAUGUUUCAUUUUGGUAUACAAUACUAAAUAGGCUACUAACAAAUAAAAAAAAAAAUAAAAAAAGGAAUACCCCCCCCAAAAAAGUGAAAAACCACUUACUCACUACAAAACACCUGAAGCAAUCCUUGGCUCUUUAUGUAGUCAGUGAAAAGAAUUAUAAAUGUAUACAAAAGAUAUAAACGCGUAAAUACUCCAUAAUGUUGUCAACUCCUGCAAUGCCACCUGCCAGGGUGAAUCAGACAAGCCCACUAUUUGGAUCCAUAAGAACACUCAAUAUAUCUUCAUUCUAUGUACUGAACUGGCCAUUUUGCCAUCAAUAGAACAUUGUGUAUAAUAUAUUUAGCAUUUGUGAUAUAUUUUCUUUUUACCAUUUCCCCAUCACAAGUAAAGUUUGUGCACACAAUAAAAGGUGUAAGGGUUUUGAAAAAACAAAACAAAAACAAAAUAAAUGUGUAAAGUAAAAAAAAAAAAA
rnacentral:lncRNA from 1 species